AUAUGCAGCCACACCCCCCUGAGCACGCCCCAUCUCAUGUGAUCUGGGAAGCUAAGCAGGGUCGGGCCCGGUCAGUGCUUGGAUGGGAGACCAGCUGGUCCAGAGAGGUUCUCCUGCCCCUC
rfam:Columba livia unplaced genomic scaffold scaffold4281, whole genome shotgun sequence.